rnacentral:rRNA from 1 species
UACAGAGGUCUCAAGCGUUGUUCGGAUUCAUUGGGCGUAAAGGGCGCGUAGGCUGCGGGGCAAGUCGGGUGUGAAAUCUCAGAGCUCAACUCUGAAACUGCACUCGAUACUGCUUUGCUCGAGGACUGGAGAGGAGAUUGGAAUUCACGGUGUAGCAGUGAAAUGCGUAGAUAUCGUGAGGAAGACCAGUGGCGAAGGCGGAUCUCUGGACAGUUCCUGACGCUGAGGCGCGAAGGCCAGGGGAGCGAACGGG